rnacentral:tRNA from 1 species
GCCAUCAUAGUUCAGUGGUAAAACGGAGCAAUGGUAAUGCUCAGUUCUGAGUUCGAUUCUCGGUGAUGGCACCA